rnacentral:rRNA from 1 species
CGGUACAGGAAACAGCUUGCUGCUUCGCUGACGAGUGGCGGACGGGUGAGUAAUGUCUGGGAAACUGCCUGAUGGAGGGGGAUAACUACUGGAAACGGUAGCUAAUACCGCAUAACGUCGCAAGACCAAAGAGGGGGACCUUCGGGCCUCUUGCCAUCGGAUGUGCCCAGAUGGGAUUAGCUAGUAGGUGGGGUAACGGCUCACCUAGGCGACGAUCCCUAGCUGGUCUGAGAGGAUGACCAGCCACACUGGAACUGAGACACGGUCCAGACUCCUACGGGAGGCAGCAGUGGGGAAUAUUGCACAAUGGGCGCAAGCCUGAUGCAGCCAUGCCGCGUGUAUGAAGAAGGCCUUCGGGUUGUAAAGUACUUUCAGCGGGGAGGAAGGGAGUAAAGUUAAUACCUUUGCUCAUUGACGUUACCCGCAGAAGAAGCACCGGCUAACUCCGUGCCAGCAGCCGCGGUAAUACGGAGGGUGCAAGCGUUAAUCGGAAUUACUGGGCGUAAAGCGCACGCAGGCGGUUUGUUAAGUCAGAUGUGAAAUCCCCGGGCUCAACCUGGGAACUGCAUCUGAUACUGGCAAGCUUGAGUCUCGUAGAGGGGGGUAGAAUUCCAUG